rnacentral:rRNA from 1 species
GUACACUCCUACGGGAGGCAGCAGUGGGGAAUUUUGAACAAUGGGCGAAAGCCUGAUCCAGCAAUGCCGCGUGAGUGAAGAAGGCCUUCGGGUUGUAAAGCUCUUUUGUCAGGGAAGAAACGGUGAAAGCUAAUAUCUUUUGCUAAUGACGGUACCUGAAGAAUAAGCACCGGCUAACUACGUGCCAGCAGCCGCGGUAAUACGUAGGGUGCAAGCGUUAAUCGGAAUUACUGGGCGUAAAGCGUGCGCAGGCGGUUUUGUAAGUCUGAUGUGAAAUCCCCGGGCUCAACCUGGGAAUUGCAUUGGAGACUGCAAGGCUAGAAUCUGGCAGAGGGGGGUAGAAUUCCACGUGUAGCAGUGAAAUGCGUAGAUAUGUGGAGGAACACCGAUGGCGAAGGCAGCCCCCUGGGUCAAGAUUGACGCUCAUGCACGAAAGCGUGGGGAGCAAACAGGAUUAGAAACCCGGGUAGUCCCA